UUCCUCAUUACUGAGGGUCGUGACUCCUA
rnacentral:sRNA from 1 species